rnacentral:rRNA from 1 species
CCAGCACGUUAUGUGGGCACUCUAAGGAGACUGCCGGUGACAAACCGGAGGAAGGUGGGGAUGACGUCAAGUCAUCAUGGCCCUUACGGCCUGGGCUACACACGUGCUACAAUGGUCGGUACAAAGGGUUGCCAAGCCGCGAGGUGGAGCUAAUCCCAUAAAACCGAUCGUAGUCCGGAUCGCAGUCUGCAACUCGACUGCGUGAAGUCGGAAUCGCUAGUAAUCGUGAAUCAGAAUGUCACGGUGAAUACGUUCCCGGGCCUU